AUCUAGCUACUCUGGUAGGGCCUUGGA
rnacentral:piRNA from 1 species